GAAAUGCGAUAAGUAGUGUGAAUUGCAGAAUUCAGUGAAUCAUCGAAUCUUUGAACGCACAUUGCGCCCUUUGGUAUUCCAAAGGGCAUGCCUGUUCGAGCGUCAUUUGUACCCUCAAGCUUUGCUUGGUGUUGGGCGUCUUGUCUCUAGCUUUGCUGGAGACUCGCCUUAAAGUAAUUGGCAGCCGGCCUACUGGUUUCGGAGCGCAGCACAAGUCGCACUCUCUAUCAGCAAAGGUCUAGCAUCCAUUAAGCCUUUUUUUCAACUUUUGACCUCAGAUCAGGUGGGAAUACCCGCUGAACUUAAGC
rnacentral:misc_RNA from 1 species